rnacentral:rRNA from 1 species
GACAGAGGAUGCAAGCGUUAUCCGGAAUGAUUGGGCGUAAAGAGUUGCGUAGGUGGCAGGGUAAGUCGAGUGUGAAAUCGUGUGGCUCAACCAUACACACAUGCUCGAAACUACUCAGCUUGAAGAUGAGAGAGGUCACUGGAAUUCCAAGUGUAGGAGUGAAAUCCGUAGAUAUUUGGAGGAACACCGAUGGCGUAGGCAGGUGACUGGCUCAUUCUUGACACUAAGGCACGAAAGCGUGGGGAGCGAACGGG